UUCUUGACGACCAUAGAACAUUGGAACCACCUGAUCCCAUCCCGAACUCAGAAGUGAAACGAUGUAUCGCCGAUGGUAGUGUGGGGUUUCCCCAUGUGAGAGUAGGUCAUCGUCAAGAUU
rnacentral:rRNA from 2 species